rnacentral:rRNA from 1 species
GACGAACGCUGGCGGCGGGCUUAACACAUGCAAGUCGAACGGAAAGGCCCUGCUUUUGUGGGGGGCUCGAGUGGCGAACGGGUGAGUAACGCGUGAGUGACCUGCCCUUGACUUUGGGAUAACUUCAGGAAACUGGUGCUAAUACCGGAUAGGAGCUCCUGCUGCAUGGUGGGGGUUGGAAAGUUUCGGCGGUUGGGGAUGGACUCGCGGCUUGUCAGCUUGUUGUUGGGGUAGUGGCUUACCAAGGCUUUGACGGGUAGCCGGCCUGAGAGGGUGACCGGACACAUUGGGCCGGAGAUACGGCACAGACUCCUCCGGGAGGCAACAGUGGGGAAUAUUGCACAAUGGGCGGAAGGCUGAUGCAGCAACGCCGCGUGCGGGAUGACGGCCUUCGGGUUGUAAACCGCAUUCGCCUGUGACGAAGCGUGAGUGACGGUACCGGGUAAAGAAGCACCGGCUAACUACGUG